rnacentral:rRNA from 1 species
CGUGAAAGCGGGAUGAUUGCUCGCAAGAGUGUAACCAGCACAGGUGCUGCAUGGCUGUCGUCAGCUCGUGCCGUGAGGUGUCAGGUUAAGUCCUUUAACGAGCGAAACCCCUACGUCGAGUUGCCAGCGGGUAAAGCCGGGGACUCUCGACGGACUGCCGCGCAAGCUGGAGGAAGGAGGGGACGACGUCAAGUCAUCAUGGCCUUUAUGGCCUGGGCCACACACGUCCUACAAUGGGUGGUACAACGGGAAGCAAUACCGCAAGGUCUAGCCAAUCCCUGAAAGCCACCCUCAGUUCGGAUUGCGGGCUGCAAUUCGCCCGCAUGAAGCUGGAAUCGCUAGUAAUCGCGGAUCAGCCACGCCGCGGUGAAUAUGUUCCUGAGCCUUGUACACACCGCCCGUCAAGCCACCCGAGUUGGUUUCACCCGAAGUCGUAGUUCCAACCGCAAGGAGGGACGCGCCGAAGGUGGAACCGGUGAGGGGGACU